GGAGCAGCAACGAUGUUACGCAGCAGGGCAGUCGCCCUAAAACAAAGUUAUGCAGCCAAAUCCCAAC
rnacentral:sRNA from 1 species